CCUACGGGGGGCAGCAGUGGGGAAUAUUGGACAAUGGGCGAAAGCCUGAUCCAGCCAUGCCGCGUGUGUGAAGAAGGCCUUCGGGUUGUAAAGCACUUUCAGUGGGGAAGAAAGCCUUGGGGCUAAUACCCUCGAGGAAGGACAUCACCCACAGAAGAAGCACCGGCUAACUCCGUGCCAGCAGCCGCGGUAAUACGGAGGGUGCGAGCGUUAAUCGGAAUUACUGGGCGUAAAGCGCGCGUAGGCGGUCUGAUAAGCCGGUUGUGAAAGCCCCGGGCUCAACCGGGAACGUGCAUCCGGACCGGAUCGACGAGAGAGUGGGAGAGGGUAGUGGAAGUCCCGGUGGAGCAGUGAAAUGCGUAGAGAGAGGCAGGAACACCAGUGGCGAAGGCGAGUCACUGGACCAAUACUGACACUGAGGCACGAAAGCCUGGGGAGCAAACAGGAUUAGAUACCCCAGUAGUC
rnacentral:rRNA from 1 species